GGUGACCAUAUAGCACAGUGGUAGAGCAUCUGCUUAGCAUUCAGAAGGUCACAGGUUCAAUCCCCAGCAUCUCCCUGGCAUCA